rnacentral:rRNA from 1 species
UACGAAGGGAGCUAGCGUUGUUCGGAAUUACUGGGCGUAAAGGGCGCGUAGGCGGCUUGACAAGUUGGAUGUGAAAGCCCAGGGCUCAACCCUGGAAUUGCAUUCAAGACUGUCUUGCUUGAAUUCGGUAGAGGUUGGUGGAAUUCCCAGUGUAGAGGUGAAAUUCGUAGAGAUUGGGAAGAACACCCGUGGCGAAGGCGGCCAACUGGACCGACAUUGACGCUGAGGCGCGAAAGCGUGGGGAUCAAACAGG